ensembl:lncRNA
GGUGGCUGUACUGUCUCUUUAAGAAACCGUGGGCGUGGCUCGUGUUGCGUUUGCAUCAGACUUUCUGAUGAAUGACCCGGAUGCUUUUAUGACGAAACCGGGUUUUGUGCAGCCACAGUUGUCCUCCCCCCACACUGUAUUCACCAUGAUUCACCAGCAGUGGAAUUAUUUUUCCACCCAGUUAUUCUUGUUACUCCAAUAAACGCUGCGUGGUUAUAUCACAUAGCUGGCUUGUUCUCAGUUUUUCCCCACUUUAUUAUUAGGGUGUUUACUGUCAAAACCCUGUAUUUAACUACGUCUGGCUAACUUAUGUGGUUCUCCCAUUUUAGGCGCCUUUCUUCUUUAGGUUUUAAAUUCUCAUAAUAUAUAGGAUGGCUCUGACUUAUUCUCGAACACCUAUUAGUACUAUUGUAUUUAUUCAUUCAUCAGUUUCACUAUAUAGCUCUAAAACCCCAAAUUAAGCAGUAUAUGAAGCAAGACUUUUGCUGGAGAUAAAAACCUGGCAGGAUACUUCCCUGUUUUGUUGGUAACCAGGACUAGUGAUUAGGUUCCUUUGGGAUAAGGACCUACUGCAAAACUGAACUAAACAUCCAGUGCAAAACUGACAAUGAACAAUACCUCCAGUGCGCCUUUAGGUAUAUUUUGAUCCCUUAUCUGUUAGUUUUUUCUAAUGUAUAUUAGUUUACUUUUUUUCUUUUACACCCAAUUUUCUGUUUACCACAUUCCUGUAUCAAAUAAUCAUAAGUAACACAGCUUGUAACAUAGUGUUUCAUGAAGUCCUCAAGCAGGAAGGAAAAAUAUACACUUCAUCAUUGACAAAAGUAAAAUCAGGUUUAUUUGCAAAGCCUACACCAUUUAAACAGGAUUUAGAGAUCAACAGAAGCCUCGUUAUAGAACCAUCAAAUGGCUAAUGGCUUUACUCAGACGGCCCUCUUUUGGCUUGUGGUGAGCAUCGGGGGGUUUGAAUGAAAUCAGCUGCAGCCCCGUUAAGUAAAAGCCAGAAGUCUGGUGAUACCGACCCCAGGCUGUGUUAUGCAUGUGAUGAACGAGUCUCCUCAACACUCAGGGUGUGAAAUGAAUGCAGACGAUACUCUGCACACCAGAAGGGAAUACUUUGAUAGCCAGUGUGAAGAUGGGGGCGGCAGGAGAUUUGUGUGUUGCAGAUAAGCUCUAUUUGCAUGAACUGUCUCGCCUUGGCCUCAGAUUGUAUUUGCAUUAGGGUGGGCUGACAUUGAUAUUUAAAAUUGAGUUACUUUAAACUCAUUCCUGCACAUUUCAUCUUGGCAUUCAUCAGGAUCAGUCUUUGAGACUUUUUAUUUUCUGUACCCACACGGACACCAAGUCACGUUUCUCAAAACUGGCAGAUAGAGAAGAUUCUGUGCCAGUUGAUGUUGCUGCCCACGACGAAAUGUGGUUUAAACCGGAAUUCAUAAUGUGUUUACAUGGAUAGUAGAUGACUUGUAAAAGCUGUCUCUCUGUCUAUCUAUCAACACUGUAUGGGCACAAGUAUGUUGCUUUAUAUGCACUGUGCCUUAGAUUAGUGCUUUCAAACUUUAACGUAUGACCCCAUAAAAGAAAGUAGUAUAAUCUUUUUAGAUUCUCAAAAGGUAAAGUGUCGCGCCUUUCACGCAUAACAAGCAAAUAUUAUUUAUAUUACUUGUUACUUAUAGCAGUAUUAAUGUUAUUAAUUAAUGUUGGGUUUCUGAGCACUUAAAACAAGGGUUUAUUGUUUUGUGUUCUCCUGUAAAACAUCUUGCAACACGAUGAGGCCUCUGUGCAGAAACUAGGACCAUGAAGAAAGGCUUUUCCCCCACUUCCCCCGACAAAAACCCCAGGAACGUGAGCCAGGUCCUAUCGCUCCAACUUCAGUGGCUGUCCUCUGUGGUCCUCCGUGCUGUUGUGGCUGAAGGGGAGACAAUUUGAACAUAUUUAGUGGUUGGAAAACAGUCUGAUCAUGUAUUGCCUGCAUUGCCAUGGAUGCCAGGAUUUUCUAAUAAAAGUAAUGUCGACCUGGAAUCUGUCUAUGCCACCCCCCCCCCCCCCCCCCCGCCUUUUGUACUAACAAAUAACCGGGUUCUUUUCUCAGGCGGGCUAAAUGUUCACAUCUCUAGGUGCUAUAACCACCCCUUCACCCCGGAUGACUCAUCACUGACGGCCUGCCGGUCAGCCUGGUGAAACACAUUUUUCCCUCUCACACACACACA